rnacentral:rRNA from 1 species
ACACAUGCAAGUCGAACGAUGAAGCAUUCUUCGGAAUGUGGAAGAGUGGCGAACGGGUGAGGAACACGUAAGAAUCUGCCCCUCGGUCGGGGACAACUCUUGGAAACGAGAGCUAAUACCCGAUACGCUGUGGAGUGAAAGAAUUUCGCCGAGGGAUGAUCUUGCGUCUGAUUAGCUAGUUGGUGUGGUAAUGGCACACCAAGGCGACGAUCAGUAGCUGGUCUGAGAGGAUGGACAGCCACAUUGGAACUGAGACACGGUCCAAACUCCUACGGGAGGCAGCAGUGGGGAAUUUUCCGCAAUGGACGCAAGUCUGACGGAGCGACGCUGCGUGAAGGAUGACGGCCCGCGGGUUGUAAACUUCUUUUCUCGAAGAAGAAACAAAUGACGGUAUUCGAGGAGUAAGCAUCGGCUAACUCCGUGCCAGCAGCCGCGGUAAGACGGAGGAUGCAAGUGUUAUUCGGAAUGAUUGGGCGUAAAGAGUCUGUAGGCCGUAUAGAAAGUCUUUUGUUAAAUGCCUCGGCUCAACCGAGAUCCAGCAAAGGAAACUUCUAUACUUGAGGGAAGUAGAGGUAC